rnacentral:rRNA from 1 species
UACGUAGGUGGCAAGCGUUGUCCGGAUUUACUGGGCGUAAAGAGCGCGCAGGCGGUCGAGUAAGUCGAAUGUGAAAGCCCCCGGCUUAACUGGGGAGGGUCAUUCGAUACUGUUCGACUUGAAGGCAGGAGAGGGCAGCAGAAUUCCCGGUGUAGUGGUGAAAUGCGUAGAUAUCAGGAGGAACACCGAUGGCGAAGGCAGGUCUCUGGGCUGACACUGACGCUCAUGCACGAAAGCGUGGGGAGCAAACAGG